UACACGACCCCCCUCCCCCCCAGAGCGUUAAGCACCAACUGCCACCUGAGUUGGUGCCAUUGCUGCUGCUCCUUCCAGGGCAGGGGAGCCAGUGCAAUGGACCCCUCCCGCAACUCAUUUAAUCUCCAGCUUCAGGAAUCGAGGCCUGCCCCUGUCACAGCUCCGCUCAGCAGCAAGCCAGCCAGAGCUCAUCCACAACCUUCAUUUCUACCAUCAUGCUUCAGGAAUAGCUGGCAUGGCCUCUUGUUUUUGUGUGGACAAGUGACUAAGGAUUGCAUGGAAUUUACAAGCACCUGUUAAAAAAAAAAAAAAAAAGGAAACUGACAGCAUAAGCUUCCCACUGGUGCUCAACAUGGCCAUUUAGUCAAACCUGCCACUCUCCCCAAGUUGGUACAGAAUUACCACCAAGUAGCAGCACUGGUCAAAGAUACUGCCACAAGGUUGCCCAGUGAUUAGAGGCUGAACAUGCGAGGAUGGUGUGGGGAAGCCAGCUCGUCCAUGGAAACGGCGCACAGCCAUCGGACAAAAUCAACUGAAUAUUAAACAGAUAUUACAAACCA